CGAUAAUAAAUCCACGAAAGAUUCGAGCGAAACUGUAAGAACAAAGUCUUUACAUAUUUUUCCUUUAAGAAUAAAGGAUACUUUGAUCUAAAAAAAAAAAAAAAGAAGAAGAAAACACGUGAAGAGAGAAAGAGAGUGGUUGGAAUGAAAAGUAAAACAUAAUAAAAAAUAAAACAGGAGUGAAAAUAAAUACAAAAGAACAAGUUACUCACUUGUAGAUACGCUGUGUGAUGUCCACUACGACGACGACGACGACGACGUUGUCGACGUGGUGGGCGACAACAGCGGGUAGAAGAACCCAAACGACGAGAUGGACGUAUCAACGCGUAAGGGUAAAACGCGUCGAGAUUAUAACCUUAAAUUCCACCGUGUAGAAGGGUGUUCUGCGUGGAGCUGUGCUGCCUCCUGCCGCGGCAACGAGCUUCCAACGGUGGCAGCUGGAGAUGGUGGUGGUGAUAAUUGUAGUAGUAGUAGUAGCAGUAGUAGUGGUAAUAGUGGGAGAGCAUCGACACGCGCGCGUGUGUCACGCAAUAAAGAAGAAUAAGAAUAAGAAGAAUAAAGUAUCAAAUAAAAAUUAAAUAUGAAAACGCGACACGAUAGACUUUGGGUAAUGCGUUGUUUCCGUUAAUAUUACUAGAACUUCUGUUUUUCCUUCUGUUGUUAUCUAUGCUCGACCGUUGGCUCAAAAUGGAAUGACACCUUGUCGGCGAUUCUUGCGACGAUUCUUGCGCGACGGCUGUUGCAGUGGAAGAACAAAAUCUAGAAGAAUUGUAAGAGGAAGCGGCAGCAAAGAAGAAGAAGAAGCGCGCUCGUUCGUGGCGUCGAGACGACUGUCGAGUGUCGCACCGUGCACCGUGCGAAGGGGCGGCUUUCUCGCGACGACGACGACGACGACGCGUUCUCGAGUGUGGCGCGAGCGACGAACGUGCACGAAGCGCGAUGAUACGCGACGACAUCGACAACGAGAACCGUCCGGCACUACUACCCCUGUUUUUCUUCCCUUUUCUCUUUUGAUCUCCUCCAAACAAUAUAUACUAUAUAUACAUAUAUAUAUAUAUAUAUAUAUAUAUAUAUAUAUAUAUAUGUCUGUAUGUAUGUGUAACAAAUUCGUAUUUUUAACGAGGACGAUGAAAAGCGAAUUUGACGUAAACGAAGACUACGACGACGACAACGACAAUGACAACGACAACGACAACCACAACGACGACGACGACAACAACGACGACGACGACGACGACGACGACGACGACGAUGACGACGACGAUAAAAAUAGAAGAAACGAACACGUCGUCUCGCCGAGGACGAGACGAGGAGUAGUAGCGUGCGAGCGAGCAAGCAAGGAGGAGAGGCACGAAGCCUCGAAAACGUCCUGCUGCUGCUGCUGCUGCUGCUGUUGCUGCUGCUGCUGCUGCUCCUACCACCACCGACACCGCCCUCGCAAUCUGGCGCUUCCACGCACCUCGGGCGCGGCAGAAACGCGCCGACGCGACGCCGCCUCGCAAAUACGCAAGCGUCCCAGCCAAAACACGCCGAAUACCCCCGGUUUCUCUUCCCUAUUUAUCCUUCACCCCGUCCCUCCCUGGCCCAUUUCGAAAUUACCGCGCUAUUCGACAGAGAGCGCCACGUUCACCGACUCGCCCACUCUCCCGCCUCUUUUUUCAAUUUCGAAAGAAAUUUUAUGAAUUAUAAAGUAUUUAAAAGUCAAAGAAAUGAAUUUCGCGUUUAAAUGGACUGAAUUAUUUAUUUCUAUCGUUUGCCUUAUAAACGUCAUCGUACCACGAGUAAAUCGUCGAACUUGGGAAAAUUUGAUUGAAAAAAGAUUUCAUUUAAACGCAUUUGUUUUACGUUAUUGUUUCAUAUUGAUAUUCGUCAUUGGUUUCGUACCCCACGGGGUUUAAGACGAUGGACAAGUUUUGACUUAUAAAAUUUGCGACAGAUUAAACAUUAUAAAUAGUACGAUAAAAGAAUCAAUAAGAACUAAUGAAAAAAAAUUUAUCCGAAAUUUUGUAAACUUUCGAAGAUCGCAAUGGAGUAUAUUAUUUUAAUCGGUCUUUUGAUUUUAAUUCCCAUCGACUUUGUUAGAUAUAAAAGGAAGUAAAAUAUUUUUUUCUAAUAAUUUUAAUUAUGAUCUAACCAUGAUUUUGAUAUUCAUAUAAUCUAUAUGGUAUUAUAUUCUUUCGUUAGGCAACUUUAAUGUAAAUCGAAAUACAAAAAAAUGCCUUUCAAUUUCAACCUUUAUUAUUUUUUAAAACGAAAAAAAGAUCUAUCUAAAAAAUGUCCAUCCUAUUGACCGAUCGAACGAGGAUCAUUGCGAUUUAUAGAUCAUAACAAGAAAGAGCUGAAACUUUUUUGUUUGUUUUCCAAAGAAUUCAACGUCCUUAAGGGAAAAAACGAGGCUAAUUUUGUGACAGUUCGAGAGGGACCUUCUAGACAAUGCAGAUUCAAUUAAAGUCUCCUGAGCGCGAAACUUUUCCAAUCAAAGUGGUACAUGCUCCGUGGCCUGUUCUUUUCUAUGGAAGAACCAAAGCAGAAGCGAAAGUCCUUCUGUCCACAAGACUUUUUUCCAAUGAAAUUUUCUUCCGAAGACCUAACGUGAAAGGAUACGGAUAUAUUCUACGACAGCCAUCAGCUCAACAGCUUUCGACUUCGACUGAUUUCCUCGAACUUCCCUUUUUAAUACACUCUUGAGACUUAAGAAACUCUAAUGAGCAUUAAUAAUUAAAGGUUUUCAUGUAACAAGACUUUUAUUUAACAUGAAAUCAAUUAGAUUCUAAGAACAAAAUUUCUCAUUAUCAAAGAUCCCAUCUAAAAAGAUUAAAAAAUUACUUACAUUUUAUUCGAUUAAAAUGAAAAAUCAGAAAUUACCUACCAUAAAAUAAUCAAUUUAUGACAUAGUCUAAUUCUUACGUAAUUCUUAAAAAUUUUUAAUUGUACGCGAGAAACCAAACGGGUUCUUUGCAUUACCUAAGAAUUUUCAUUCCUAUUCCCGAUAAUAAUCUUGUCUUAUUUAAUCAUCAUUUUUCAAAAUGGUUACUUACCGUAAUACCCUUAAUACAAUUGACAGGUGCUAACGAGAAGUGAAAAUGAAAGUAAUAACGUUUUAUUAUUUAAAAAUGCUUUCCACAAUGUCAAGCGUAAUUUUGAUGAUACAUACUAUAAAUACGUACAUGGAGGUUGCGUUCUGACUGUUAUGGUUGCUAGAGUAACGACAAGCGAUAGAUCAAACCGUUUUCACCGUUAAAAACGUUUCUCAGCAACCACUCCACUUGCUGAAGUUUAUGGUGCUCGUAUAAAACGUUUGUUAUAUCGAAAUCGAUCAGUAUAUGAUAUACAUCACAAAAACGUUUAUUUUAUUUUGGAUAUCUCGAAAUUCGUCAAACUUUCUAGAACACGUCAAGAUCAAGAAGUAUUUCACUAAUGAUCGGCAUCGAUCGACUUGUUGAAUUUCUUUAAAUUAAGAGAAAAAGAGAGAGAGAGAAAGAGAGAGAGAGAGAGAGAGAGAGAGAGAGAGAGAUCGAUUAAUUGGACGGUACUCGA